UGUUAAUUGUGCCAUUGAGGAUGUUUUCCUGGUCACCGUGGCCUCUAUAAUGGGGCAUAAAAAGAAGGUUGUGGGACUUUCUCUGCUGCAUUGUGCAGCGGCUGCCUUGACCCAGUUCUUCCAUGUGAGAGCAGUCACCGUGCUCAUGCCAGGAAGACUGUGUUUCCUGUUACUGGUAGCUGAACACAUUCCCUCAAUAUUUUCAAUAGUGUUUGACUGCAUGUCAUGAAAACAACAUCCAUUUCCUUGUGAAAUGAACUCUUCUGUAGUUGUUUCAUUGAUAUAUUUUAUCAACUGUUUUCUGAGGCAUUGUAUGCUAAUGAAUAUUUUUCUGGUUUUCAUUUCCUAAGAGAAUAUAUUAAAAUCCAUUUUUAUUAUGGAUUUUAAGAUAUACUUUGCAUUUUUCUUCAUUUAAUCCUCAUGAGUCAGUUUUAUCAUUUGCAUACAAAUUCAGGUAUUUUUUCCUCAGGAAAACUGUAUUUUUUAUUCUUCUAUGAUUACAGUGUUUCUCAAAAAACUAACUUCUCAUUUAUUCUUCACCCCAAACUUAAAAUCAUGCUUUUAUCAGUGCCCUCUUGCCAGUGACCUGCAGGAUUGCACCUGUAGUCAAAGAGAGGGGUGUAAGGAAUUCUAGUAAGAAGGACCACAGACCAUAGAGGACGGUGAGGGGCACCAGGAACAGGGUGCUCAGAAGGACUUCUUACAAGAUUAUGGCCUGUGUUUGUGGAUUUGAUUGCUGUUCAAGGAAGCAGAUCACUUUCUGUAUUGAAACCUCUGAGGAGGUAAACAUUCUAUCUUUGGUAAACAUAAUAAUCACUGUUUUCUUGGAGGCAAAAACAAUGUAGUUGAAAGGGAAUAUUAGUCAUUUUUUGUGAUUCGGAAUUUUAUAGUUACCAUUUUUACUCGUAUGGUUACAAAAUACCCUUAGUUUCUUCUUGGUGACUGUGUUCAUUUAAUGAAGGAGGUGUGUGACAUUUUUCUCUUCGGCAGGAUGACUUUGACUGGCAGUGGAUGCAAUCAGCUCCUGGUCUUCUGGAGCAGCUUUUGCCUUUCCUACUUAUUAUCAAAAUACUGUUGUAUUUCCUAAGUUGUAUUAAACACUGUUGAGCAUGAAGUACCUCAGUUAAAAUAAUACGUUCACUUCUUAGUAUACUGUAUAAUUUUCAUAUUUCCUUCAUGACUCAAUUGAGGCCUUUGUGUUUACGUAAAUUGUGAGACAAUACAAACCAUCAAGGGAGAAAGUGAGAACCGCUGUGCCAAUCAAGCCUUUGUUUCUCUUGAUGCUAAUGUUUCAGCAUCCCUCACAUGCCAUGCCUUUUAGAGGCAAUGUACCCAAUGUAGCAGAAAUAGGACCCAGUAGGAUUUGGAUAUUUUGGCAUGAAACAAACAAAUUCUUGUAGCCAUGGUUGUUAUAUGUUUGUGGGAAAAGAGAGACGAUUAACAGAUGGUAAACUCUUGUCUAAUAAAAGGGAAAUAAGGGCUUUGAAGUAAAAUAACAUUGAGCUAAUAGGGAGGCUGAGGUGUGUAUGUAUCUUUUCUAUGAGAGUAGGAGCCUCAAUAAUGAGGAUGUCAUUAUUAGUGAGACUUCCAACUGUUUUAAGCCACAGAAAUUUUGUGUUUAAUGUCAUUUGAGAGGGUUUUUAUUUACCUUUAAAGAUUUAAAAGUUGUUGUCUUUAGCAUUUUCAUGUUCCUGCUGUAUAGACUGAGUGUGCAACGUAUGCCCCAGUAAACCAUGGAGUUCUUCCCAUUUAGAGAGACAGUUGCCUUCAUCUGCACUGUUCUAGCUCAUCCCGAGUGUAUUCUCUGAGUAGACUGACAUCUGUGCAAGUCCACUGUGAUCUCCCUGUGGAAACACAAAAAAAGAGUUAUGGGUGUUGAGCUGCAAUCCUCCAAGGAAUGAUUGAGGUGAGCUGCAGAGAGACGGUGUCAUUUUGAGUAACAUCCUAAUUGAGUACGAAAGGAGAAAUGGGAAUUAAUCACCGUCUUUUUUAGCAGGAGCAGCUGGAAGUCUUUGGUUUCAAUGAUCCGCAAAGCCCCAUAAUCUAUUUUGCUGUUCACAUGUUUCAUUUCCAUCUGUUUAAAUGUCAAGCUAUAUUGUGGGAAAGUCAGAAACAAUAUGAGGCCUAAUAAAGAGCAAAAUAAAUUAUUUCUCUUAUCCUUUUUUUUUUUUUUAGUGUUAACUUAGGUUUUGG
rnacentral:lncRNA from 1 species